UUUAUAAUAAUUGUUUUAUGUAGAAUUUGUUGAAAUUAAUUUUAAAAAAAAUAAUUUUAUUAGUUUAGAUAUAGUAAUUAUAAAAGAAAAAUAAAAAAACUAAAGUUUACAAGUACUGAGAAGGAAAUAAUAAUUUUAUCUUAAUUAUUAUAGUAAUAGUAAAAUUUUGUAUCUUGUGUAUUAGAGAGAAUUAAAAUUAAUUGCAUAAGUGCAAUAAUCUCGAAAUAAAUAAUAGCUAAUUUUAUAUAAUAGUUUUUGUAGCAAAAAUAUUUUAAAUAUAAAAUUAAAGAUGAAAUGUUAAACGAGUUUUAUUAUAUCUAGUUUCUUAAAAAAUAAAUUUAAUUUAGUCUUUUAAUAAAAGUGAAUAAAAGUAUAAGAAUAGGAGGGUAAAGCUUCUUGUUCAAUAAUAAAAUUAUAAUAGUGGUGUGAGUAUUGAUUAUUUUUUCUAAGCUUGAAAGUAGCUAUGAAUUUAAAGUGUUUUAAUUUAAAAUAAGAUAAAUAGUAAUUUAUUAUCACUUUAAUUUGUAUUAAGAAUAUGUUUAAAAUAAAUUUAAAUAUGGUAUAAUGAUUGUAUUAGUAAAUAAAAUUAUUAAACAAAAAAAUAAACUUUAAAUGAAAUUAUACAAAAUAAGUAUGAAAUAUUUAAGGAAUUCGGCAAAAAUUUUUCUUGCCUGUUUAUCAAAAACAUGUCUAUUUGAAGCUAUAAAUAGUCUAGCCUGCUCACUGAUAAAUUAAUUUAAGAGCCGCAGUAUCCUAACUGUGCAAAGGUAGCAUAAUCAUUAGUUUUUUAAUUGGAAACUUGUAUGAAAGGUUGGACAAAGAAAAUACUGUCUCACUUAUUCAAAUUGAAAUUAACUUUUAAGUGAAAAGGCUUAAAUAAAUCAAAGGGACGAGAAGACCCUAUAAAGUUUUAUAUAUUGGCAUAAAUAAAUUGAAUUUAAAAUAAUAAUUUAUUUUUGUUGUUAUAUUUUAUUGGGGCGAUAUAGAUAUAAAUUAAUUUAACUGUUUUAAAUUCAUACAAUAAUAUUUGAAUAUAAUAUAAAUAGAUCCUUUAUUUAAGAUUUUCAGACCAAAUUACUUUAGGGAUAACAGCGUUAUUUUUUUUGAGAGUUCCUAUCGAAAAAAAAGUUUGCGACCUCGAUGUUGAAUUAAAAUGUCUUUAUGGUGCAGCCAUUAUAAAAGAAGGUCUGUUCGACCUUUAAAAUUUUACAUGAUUUGAGUUCAAACCGGUGUGAGCCAGGUUGGUUUCUAUCUUUUGAUAAAUAAAAAUUAUUUUAGUACGAAAGGAUUAAAUAAUUGAUUAAAAAUCAUUAAUUAUUAGCUAAUAAUUUUGUAAAUU
rnacentral:rRNA from 1 species